rnacentral:rRNA from 1 species
CAGUCGCCGCGGUAAUACGAAGGGUGCAAGCGUUAAUCGGAAUUACUGGGCGUAAAGCGUGCGUAGGCGGUUUGUUAAGUCUGUUGUGAAAUCCCCUGGCUCAACCUGGGAACGGCAAUGGAUACUGGCAAGCUAGAGUGUGUCAGAGGAUGGUGGAAUUCCCGGUGUAGCGGUGAAAUGCGUAGAGAUCGGAAGGAACAUCAGUGGCGAAGGCGGCCAUCUGGGACAACACUGACGCUGAGGCACGAAAGCGUGGGGAGCAAACAGGAUUAGAUACCCCCGUAGUCCCUGUCUCUUAUAC